ensembl:snRNA U1 U1 spliceosomal RNA
AUACUUACCUGGCAAGGCAGAUACCAUAAUCUUAAAGGCAAUUUUCCCAGUGCGAGGCUUAUCCAUUACUCUCUGGAUCCAUUACAGGGAUAUGCUGAUCCCUGUAAUUGCCCCAGAAGUGUAAAACUCAAUUGCAAAAUUUAUGGUAGUGGGUGACUGCGUUAUGCAUUCAUGUA